rnacentral:piRNA from 1 species
UCUCAUGUCACUGCACACUUAAUUCUAGGGA